rnacentral:sRNA from 12 species
CGUGUGCCUAGCCUGACGGGGCGAACGUGGGAUUCCUUUCACCCACUGGCACACCUUAUUCUUGAAAGG